UAGCAGUUAGUAUAGACAAUAUAAUUAAUUUCGACUUAAAAGCCCCAGGUUUAAACCCCGGACUGCUCC
rnacentral:tRNA from 1 species